AGCAGUGAGUCCACAGGGCCACAGGUCGGCAAGGGACGCACCGAAACAAAUACAGCUCCUGGGAAGUGCUUCCUGGGAGAGCAGACAGUGACUGAACCGCAGAAUACAGCAUGGUCUGAAGAACCGGGAUAUAGGGGACACGUGACCAGCGAGCUGCAGAGGCGCAGCCAUGAGUUAUGGGAGAGAAUACAGCCACAUGAGAACCAAGGAGACAGAGUCCAAAAAGAGUCGUGGGAAAAUACGCUGUGGAAUACCCGUGGCACGGAGCGUACACGAAUGUACAUGAACGGACACACGUGUGAGGAAGCGUGGCUGCGGAGAGCAGUCCGGACUUUGAGUUGACAGAGGUAAAAAUACCGGGGAGAAAUACAGUGCAAAUCUCCCAUGAGAAUAAAGUUAUAGUACAUACACAGCCAGCUCUCAUCCGUUUUUACAUCUCCUUGUGUGAUCAACACCUAAUGUCAGAACCCAGGACAUCUCUCUGGAUGCCCUGGAUGUCUCAAAGCCCUUGGAGACCCUGGCAGAAAGCCAAAGACACCUGGGAAUUUGAUCUCAACUCAUGGAGCAAAUUACCAAUGUUAUAUGAAGAAUUACAAGUCACAAAAGUUUAUGUAGCAUAGUAGUAGCAAUCACAGGGUGAAGGGGAAAAUUUUGGAGCAUGGUACAGGAGGGUUUGGAAUUCUUUACAUGGGGGUCAGGGGUUCCAAGAUGGAGGGAUUUGGGCAUGCCCUGUCCUUCUUCUUUCUUCUCCCUGGCAUCCAUGUUCAGGAUGAUGUUGGCAUUCACAUUGGUUUAGAGUAGAAAGUCACUGUCUAACAUAGGUGAUAGGUAUUGGAACAUAAUUGUAAACAUAGUAUACGUAGUUUUUAGUAUAAAAGAUAGUGCCAGCCCGAGAGGCAGAGGGUGUUCCUCGGACCAACCUGCAGAACAGACCUUGGCAGGCCAGACAGAAAAUGUUUGAGAUAAAGAAAUAAUAAACAACCUUGAGAAUGACAACUGAAGACUUCUCAACUCCUUCUUCAGCUGCUGGGUUGGGGAAAAGAGACUUUUAACAGAGACACACCUCAGGAUCUUCCCAACCAGACCAGAGGAGAUCUGGAGAACCUACAAGACAUAUGUCAUUUUUAGGAUCCUUCUUUUUGUUCUGUGCUGACAUCUUAUACCUGCUAUUAUUAAAGACAUGUUUUUAAAAUGGUUUACGUAAGUCCCACCAAGCUUAAGCUGUGGCCAGACCUUGGCUCUACCUGGACGGGAUGUGUGCCAACUGACCCAGGUGUUUUCUGCAUCAAAAUAAUAUUCAAGUCACUUUAGCUUGGCAGUUUGACCCUCUACACAUGACAGCUGGACUUAUUUUUAAAGUGAGCUUGGAGAAUCAUUAUCUGAACAUGAUUAUCCAAUUCUCCACUGAUUUGAACUUUAUCAGCUGUUGCAGUCGCUGGGAUAACGGUUCAAAGCAGUCACCUGUUCAUUUGAUCAGAUACCGAUUGCCUCUGAAAAAAAUGAGGCCCAGUGAAAAGAGAAAUAAUCUAAUCACCUUGCAGCCUUUGUGGCCAGAACAGGAACAGAAGCAGGACUACCAAGACAUAGCUGUGUCUGGAAACUUAAAGAGGAAAUAUGCUGACAAAAGCCUCAUGUCAUCAUAAUGUUAUAGUGUUUCUACUAACCUUCUUCAGCUAUUCCCUGUUCCAGGAUCAAGGAAGAUAUUCCGUGACAUCAACGAUGAACAUUUCCAGCUGAUAGACUUUCUCCUGAGUCUCAACUAUUUGGACUUAAAACAAUGGUCAUUUAUUUCCAUUUCUCUAAGAGACAUUGGACAUUGUUAUUUUGUUUUCUCACACUGUGAAACCCUCUAUCAAUGACAUGGUAGAAUUUGAUAAGUUUUGUUGAUUGUAAUCUGGUUUUUAUGUGUUUUAUGCCAUAUCUAAUAGAUAACCAGUGAUGACCGUAAUGAAAUAAUACUCUCACAAGAACCAACUGUUUCAACAUCAGAAUGCAUGGGCCUUUUUUAAAUUAACAAAAACUGGGAGAUGUUGCUGUCAGGUAGAAAAAUUAGAAAAGAAAGGCCUCAUAAAAUCAGGCCUGCUCUGUUAGAUCAAUGGCUGGCCUGUCAUUUCCUCUAAACAAAGCUAGUACUUUGCAAGUUCCCUUCUGCAAAUAGUCCUGGUAUGAAUAGUCUGUUAACACAACAAUCUAUUCCUGGGUGAAAAAUAACUAGCACCUGCAUAAACAUUAAAUCUGUCCCAUGAGAAUCAGUGAAGAAAAUAUGUAAACAAUUUAAGAAUAGAGAGAUUUGAUGGACAAGUAAAAUACCUCUUACUAACCAACAGAGUAAUUGGCAAGAAAGCUACUAACCAAUUGGAGUCACACACAAGGUCUGUAAAACUGUAUAAAAAUGAGUUAUGUGAAUAAAGA